rnacentral:rRNA from 1 species
GAUGAACGCUGGCGGCGUGCCUAAUACAUGCAAGUCGAGCGAACAGACGAGGAGCUUGCUCCUCUGACGUUAGCGGCGGACGGGUGAGUAACACGUGGAUAACCUACCUAUAAGACUGGGAUAACUUCGGGAAACCGGAGCUAAUACCGGAUAAUAUAUUGAACCGCAUGGUUCAAUAGUGAAAGACGGUUUUGCUGUCACUUAUAGAUGGAUCCGCGCUGCAUUAGCUAGUUGGUAAGGUAACGGCUUACCAAGGCAACGAUGCGUAGCCGACCUGAGAGGGUGAUCGGCCACACUGGAACUGAGACACGGUCCAGACUCCUAAGGGAGGCAGCAGUAGGGAAUCUUACGCAAUGGGCGAAAGCCUGACGGAGCAACGCCGCGUGAGUGAUGAAGGUCUUCGGAUCGUAAAACUCUGUUAUUAGGGAAGAACAAAUGUGUAAGUAACUGUGCACGUCUUGACGGUACCUAAUCAGAAAGCCACGGCUAACUACGUG